rnacentral:lncRNA from 1 species
UGGUUCCCGACCGUCCUGCCGCCUUCACACGGCACUCUAGUGCCAAGGUUCACAGUCAGAUUCUUCUCCUUCGACUUCUUCUUCUGCUCCUUAUUCAUCUUCACCUCCAGCUUCUUCUUCUACCUGCGUGUACCUGCAAAACACCAGAAACACAGCAAGUUAACAGUUCAAAGAGGGAAACAAAAGAAAACAGAAAAAGAAGAAAAAAUCCAGAGAAGAUUCAAGGUGGGAAAAUGUGUCCUCGGGACACUUUGGCUCAGAUUUUCCCACGGUAGACUCGGCUUCUUCCGGCAGCGUUAAUGAUCAAGGCU